UACGUAGGGCGCAAGCGUUAUCCGGAAUUAUUGGGCGUAAAGAGCUCGUAGGCGGUUUGUCGCGUCUGCCGUGAAAGUCCGGGGCUCAACUCCGGAUCUGCGGUGGGUACGGGCAGACUAGAGUGAUGUAGGGGAGACUGGAAUUCCUGGUGUAGCGGUGAAAUGCGCAGAUAUCAGGAGGAACACCGGUGGCGAAGGCGGGUCUCUGGGCAACUACUGACGCUGAGGAGCGAAAGCGUGGGGAGCGAACAGG
rnacentral:rRNA from 1 species